rnacentral:rRNA from 1 species
UGCAAGUCGAGCGGACAGAAGGGAGCUUGCUCCCGGAUGUUAGCGGCGGACGGGUGAGUAACACGUGGGUAACCUGCCUGUAAGACUGGGAUAACUCCGGGAAACCGGAGCUAAUACCGGAUAGUUCCUUGAACCGCAUGGUUCAAGGAUGAAAGACGGUUUCGGCUGUCACUUACAGAUGGACCCGCGGCGCAUUAGCUAGUUGGUGGGGUAAUGGCUCACCAAGGCGACGAUGCGUAGCCGACCUGAGAGGGUGAUCGGCCACACUGGGACUGAGACACGGCCCAGACUCCUACGGGAGGCAGCAGUAGGGAAUCUUCCGCAAUGGACGAAAGUCUGACGGAGCAACGCCGCGUGAGUGAUGAAGGUUUUCGGAUCGUAAAGCUCUGUUGUUAGGGAAGAACAAGUGCGAGAGUAACUGCUCGCACCUUGACGGUACCUAACCAGAAAGCCACGGCUAACUACGUGCCAGCAGCCG